rnacentral:lncRNA from 1 species
AACUCUAUGUAUUAGAGUCUAAUUGGUUCAUGAGAUAUGGGUAUGAGUUUAUGGGAUUUGGGUAUUGGUUCAUGGGAUAUGGGUAUUAGGUUGGAUGUAUGGUUCAUGGGAUUUGGUCCAUAAACUUGGUUUUGGCUCAUGGGAUUUGGUCCAUGAGGUUUGGUUUUGGUUCAUGGGAUUUGGUCCAUGAACUUGGUUUUGGCUUCAUGGGAUUUGGUCCAUGAGGUUUGGUUUUGGUUUAUGGGAUUUGGUCCAUGAACUUGGUUUUGGUUUAUGGGAUUUGGUCCAUGAACUUGGUUUUGGCUUAU